rnacentral:rRNA from 1 species
AUUGAACGCUGGCGGCAUGCCUUACACAUGCAAGUCGAACGGCAGCACGGGAGCUUGCUCCUGGUGGCGAGUGGCGAACGGGUGAGUAAUACAUCGGAACGUACUCUGAAGUGGGGGAUAACGUAGCGAAAGUUACGCUAAUACCGCAUAUUCUGUGAGCAGGAAAGAGGGGGAUCGCAAGACCUCUUGCUUUAGGAGCGGCCGAUGUCGGAUUAGCUAGUUGGUGAGGUAAAGGCUCACCAAGGCGACGAUCCGUAGCGGGUCUGAGAGGAUGAUCCGCCACACUGGGACUGAGACACGGCCCAGACUCCUACGGGAGGCAGCAGUGGGGAAUUUUGGACAAUGGGCGCAAGCCUGAUCCAGCCAUGCCGCGUGAGUGAAGAAGGCCUCGGUUGUAAAGGACUCUUCGUUGGGGUAAGGAAAGUAGGCACGGGUUAAGUAACCCUCGUGUU